rnacentral:lncRNA from 1 species
GACGUAAUUGCCGUCUCAGGGUCCCUGGGUAGGUUGUGGAAGAUGUCUAGUAACUACCAUCCCUCCCUUUCGUUCAAUAUAAAAGAGGAGGAACUAAGAAGGGGUGAUGUUGAGGCCGGAGAGCAAUUUGGACUAUUUCCUGUUGUCCGGGGUUGUCGCAUGUUCGGGCAUUGCUGAUCCUCACCAUCAGGGCACACUCCGUAACCAUGAGACUCAGGCUUUGUGGCUAGCAGCCCGUAGUCCCGUAACAGUAAAUUAGUUGUUUGAUUAGAGAGUUUUUUGAGUUUGUUGUUGAAGAAAUGCCAGAGGAGAAGAAAUUGAUAAAAGAGGGUUCGAUGACAGCCAGGAGGGGCAAGAUUUGAACUGCCCUUUCAUCAUGUCUGGCAGCUAUUGCGUGCAACAGGAAUUGCAAUGAGAAAAUCAGCAAUAACUGAAGCAGCAAGCCUUUGUUCUGCGGAAGCUCGUUUCACUUCUCGUAAAGAGCAAAACUGCCUCGGGACAGCGUCGGAGCACUGGAGAUCCCAUUUAACGUUGAUGGCAGCUCUUGUUCUUAUUUUUAAUUAAUUAUGUGUAUGGGUGUUUUGUUUGCAUGCAUAUCUGUGUACCUCAUGUGUGCCCAGAGAUGCCCAGAAGAGGGAGUCAGCAUCAAAGCCCCUGGCUAACAUGUCUCAGCAGUUAAAAAUAUAGCUGUUGCUUUUAAA